rnacentral:rRNA from 1 species
GAUGAACGCUGGCGGCGUGCUUAACACAUGCAAGUCGAACGGAGUACCCUUCGGGGUGCUCAGUGGCGAAUGGGUGAGUAACACGUAGGUGACCUGCCACGAAGUGGGGAAUAACGCCGCGAAAGCGGAGCUAAUACCGCAUGUGACCUGGCGUAAGCCAGGGGAAAGCUGUCCGCAAGGAUGGCGCUUGGUGAGGGACCUGCGGCCCAUCAGCUAGAU